UACAGAGGGGGCAAGCGUUAUUCGGAAUUAUUGGGCGUAAAGGGCGCGUAGGCGGUCGUGCAAGUGGAAGGUGAAAUCCCUCGGCUCAACCGAGGAACUGCCUUUCAAACUGCAUGACUUGAGUCCGGGAGAGGUGAGUGGAAUUCCCAGUGUAGCGGUGAAAUGCGUAGAUAUUGGGAGGAACACCAGUGGCGAAGGCGGCUCACUGGGCCGGUACUGACGCUGAUGCGCGAAAGCGUGGGGAGCAAACGGG
rnacentral:rRNA from 1 species